rnacentral:tRNA from 1 species
AGGAAUAUAGUUUAAUGGUAAAACAUCAGUCUCCAAAACUGUAAAUGCAGGUUCGAAUCCUACUAUUCCUG